AUACUCAGCAUAAAAAUAAACGAGCACAUUCUCCGCACGAAGUACGUAAUAAAACACUCGGUAGGGGUCAAGUCGAACGAAGAAACGGGACGAGCAAGUGUUGAAAAAGGUAGCCACGUGACAAAGAACGAUCCCUGCGCGGAGCACAUCGUCGUCUUCUCCCGCGAGAUCACGCGAGAAAUACGUUCGCGUCUCCGUACACAGCCGUAUUGAUACUGAACGAGGAUUACGUCCGAGCGCGCACGGAUUCGAGGCCUCGAUAGAGUUCCACCACCGUGGAACAGAACACAAAAUUCUCGACGCCCGUAACUAGGAACUUUCUCACUCGGGUUUCGCUCUUUUUGUUUCGUUCAAGAAAGCCAGCAGGCUUUCGGGAGGGGGAACUCUCUCGCUCCAGUGACUCCGGCGUGUCUGCACACAACUUGCCGAGUGAAUCAUUCCUCUUGUGUCGAUUUCGUUCGAUUCCCCCUCGCUUUGCAGUUAAUGGGGGAAAGCGGUAGAUUCAGGGGACCGCGUUAACUGAAACGGAACGUUCGUUUGUCCACGUUGGCGAGGUUAUUUAUACACGCCUCUCGUAUCCAAUUUCUAUCCGGGGCGAAACGAUUUCUCUCGGUCAAGAUCGACCGACGUAUCGACUGAUUCGCUCGGUCGAUACAUACUUUACUAUCCUUGGGGAAAAUAUUUCGAUAUUUCGGUCGAGAGAGUGUGAAGUAUGUGCUUCGUGUCAAAUUGACUGGAAAAUCAGAAAGCUCCAACCUCGUGUCUAUUUUUUUUCUUUUUUCUUUCUUUCUCUUAUUUUGAGCCAGGUGGUUCUUUCAAACCAGUGCAUGACGUCACGGUUUCACAGACCAUUUGCCAGCUCGUUGGUGACGUACCUGUCACGCGCACACUUCCGAUCGGUCGCUGACAUCCCUGCAACACCGACGGUGGGUGGCACAAUUUUGGCUCGCGUGUACAUACGUAUGUACAUAUCUCGAGCGAUGCAAGAACAGGCUCUGCCAGGAUGGAACGGCUAGAUUAUGCGCGGCAAGACCCGGAUGUGUCACCGUGCAUGCCUUCGCCACCCCCAGCCGACCAAUCCUGGCCAUUGUCGUUCCAGUUUUCGAUCCGUAUGCCGUUUACCAUUUGCCAAUGAUUCGAACCAAUUCGGAGCUCGCGCAUGUAACAUCCAGUGUAUUUUUCAACGGCACGACAGUAAAAACUUUCUCAACAUCCUCGACUCUCCUUGGGAAAAUCGUCGAGGCUAUUUUCUGAAAAUAGUUGUCAAACGUUUCCAAACUAACUAAAAGAAAAUCCAUUCGAAUCUGAAGGCGUAUACAAGGGAAAUUGCUGGGCAGCUUGCGGCGAACGAGAAUACGGGAUACUCGUCGCUGCUUCGCUGCAUUGUUCCACGUCGGCAUUGUUCGUCGCAAGUUUCCUUUGACUUUCGAAUAAAGUGCUGGCGAAGUAGCUCUACCAGAGGUACGGCACUACGUGAUUCACCGUAGGCGAAAAGUCCCCGGAGAAAAACACCGAUGAUAAUCGUUUGUCACAGAGUUCUCGUAUCUCGCGAGUGGAUACAGAAACUCUGUUUCUGUUCAGCCACAAUAGCUACGAUGUAUCAUUGGCAUCGCCGUUUAGAUUCAAGAAUAAUCGACAAUGAUCAAUUAAUAAAACGCACGUCACUGUAUAAUAAAAUUCAAUUUCCCUCUGAGCUUCAAUCACUUGCGCUGGCAGCUGAUUGCGGACCAUAACGAGUGACCGAACCGUACACAAUAAUUUGUCGCUUUCUUUUUGAACUCAACGGUAUGAUAUUUCUACCAGUGGAUAGAAAUUAUUGAGGAGUAAUAAAUUUAUUAUCUGUUUUGCCUGGGUUACACUUAAAUAUACUUAAAACUGAGAAAAUAUUGCAAUUUUGUUAUUCCAGCGCAAGAGGUUAAUCUGAGCGACUGUUGGAUUUCCAUGCACCCUGAUAUUUUUGAGAGUUUUCAUUAACGUCGAGCUGAAAAAAAAAGCAAGAGCCACAAUGUCAGCAUCCUUUCAUCGAAGACUGACAGAUUGGACAGCUAGCAGCACUGUUAGAUGAAGUUUAUAGAUUUUUUUCUUCCUCUUUUGUUACUUUGGGGACAGUUACUAUAUAAUAUACACAGUACAUAGAAAAAAGAACCAGUGAAAAAUAAUGAAAGUAAUUUUAAACAAAUAAUAAUAAUCGUUACAUUUUUGUGUACUUGCUUGUGCGUCUGAUACGUUAAAAAUUUGUUUAUUUCGUUAUUGGUAUUUGGUGUAACCGGAUAUUAUCGUUGACAACCAGAGGCAAGCAACU